GAUGAAGAACGCAGCGAAAUGCGAUACUUGGUGUGAAUUGCAGAAUCCCGUGAACCAUCGAGUCUUUGAACGCAAGUUGCGCCCGAAGCCACUAGGCCGAGGGCACGCCUGCCUGGGCGUCACACGUCGUUGCCCCCCAUCUACUCCUUCGGGAUUGCGGGGGGGCGGAUGAUGGCCUCCCGUGCGCCUAGCCGCGCGGUUGGCAUAAAUACCAAGUCCUCGGCGACGCACGCCACGACAAUCGGUGGUUGCGAAACCUCGGUUGCCCGUCGUGUGCGUUCGUCGCGCAUCGAGGGCUCGAAAAAAUGCUCGGCUCCGGCUGGGCUUUCAACGCGACCCCAGGUCAGGCGGGGUUACCCGCUGAAUUUAAGCAUAUCAAUAAGCGGAGGA
rnacentral:misc_RNA from 1 species